rnacentral:rRNA from 1 species
GACAAACGCUGGCGGAAUGUAUUAGGCAUGCAAGUCGUACGAACCUUCGGGUUAGUGGCGAACGGGUGAGUAACACGUGGGUAACCUGCCUCGUAGUGGGGGAAUAACUCGUCGAAAGGCGAGCUAAUACCGCAUAACACCCCUGGUGAGACUCCAGGUGGUAAAAGCUCCGGCGCUAUGAGAGGGGCCUGCGGCCGAUUAGCUAGUUGGUGGGGUAAUGGCCCACCAAGGCGACGAUCAGUAGCUGGUCUGAGAGGAUGGUCAGCCACACGGGGACUGAGAUACGGCCCCGACUCCUACGGGAGGCAGCAGCUAAGAAUCUUGCGCAAUGGGCGAAAGCCUGACGCAGCAAUUCCGCGUGGGGGACGAAGGCCUUCGGGUCGUAAACCCCUUU